CGUUGGAAAAAGCGACAAAAACAAGGUGGGCAAAAAUUUAUUGUGAACCUAAAUUGAUAUGUGGGCCGGGUCACAAUCUGCGAGGGGCCAGAUUUGGCCCUUGGGCCUUAAGUUUGACACGUGGCCUAUGAAAUUGACAGGAGCUUUUGAUAAACUAGCAG